rnacentral:rRNA from 1 species
UAAAAACCCCGACUUCGGAAGGGGUGUAUUUAUUAGAUACAAAACCGAUGCCCUUCGGGGCUCUUUGGUGAUUCAUGAUAACUAUACGAAUCGCACGGCCUUGCGCCGGCGAUGGUUCAUUCAAAUUUCUUCCCUAUCAACUUUCGAUGUUUGGGUAUUGGCCAAACAUGGUUGCAACGGGUAACGGAGGGUUAGGGCUCGACCCCGGAGAAGGAGCCUGAGAAACGGCUACUACAUCCAAGGAAGGCAGCAGGCGCGCAAAUUACCCAAUCCCGACUCGGGGAGGUAGUGACAAUAAAUACUGAUACGGGGCUCUUUCGGGUCUCGUAAUUGGAAUGAGUACAAUCUAAAUCCCUUAACGAGGAACAAUUGGAGGGCAAGUCUGGUGCCAGCAGCCGCGGUAAUUCCAGCUCCAAUAGCGUAUAUUAAAGUUGUUGCCGUUAAAAAGCUCGUAGUUGAACCUUGGACCUGGCUGAUCUGUCCUCCUAAUCGAGCGCACGGAUUCGGUCGGGUCUUUCCUUCUGGGGAGCCCUAUGCCCUGCACUGGGCGUGGCGGGGAAACAGGACAUUUACUUU